GAUCCUGGCUCAGAUUGAACGCUGGCGGCAGGCCUAACACAUGCAAGAAGAGCGGUAGAGAGAAGCUUGCUUCUCUUGAGAGCGGCGGACGGGUGAGUAAUGCCUAGGAAUCUGCCUGGUAGUGGGGGAUAACGUUCGGAAACGGACGCUAAUACCGCAUACGUCCUACGGGAGAAAGCAGGGGACCUUCGGGCCUUGCGCUAUCAGAUGAGCCUAGGUCGGAUUAGCUAGUUGGUGAGGUAAUGGCUCACCAAGGCGACGAUCCGUAACUGGUCUGAGAGGAUGAUCAGUCACACUGGAACUGAGACACGGUCCAGACUCCUACGGGAGGCAGCAGUGGGGAAUAUUGGACAAUGGGCGAAAGCCUGAUCCAGCCAUGCCGCGUGUGUGCAGAAGGUCUUCGGAAUGUAAAGCACUUUAAGUUGAUAGGAAGGGUUGUAGAUUAAUACGCUGCAAUUUUGACGUUACCGACAGAAUAAGCACCGGCUAACUCUGUGCCAGCAGCCGCGGUAAUACAGAGGGUGCAAGCGUUCAUCGGAAUUACUGAGCGUAAAGCGCGCGUAGGUGGUUUGUUAAGUUGGAUGUGAAAUCCCCGGGCUCAACCUGGGAACUGCAUUCAAACCUGACUGACUAGAGUGUGGUAGAGGGUGGUGGAAUUUCCUGUGUAGCGGUGAAUUGCGUAGA
rnacentral:rRNA from 1 species